AUUGAACGCUGGCGGCGUGCUUUACACAUGCAAGUCGAACGGUAACAGGUUAAGCUGACGAGUGGCGAACGGGUGAGUAAUGCAUCGGAACGUGCCCGGUCGUGGGGGAUAACGCAGCGAAAGCUGCACUAAUACCGCAUACGAUCUGAGGAUGAAAGCGGGGGACCGUAAGGCCUCGCGCGAUCGGAGCGGCCGAUGUCAGAUUAGGUAGUUGGUGGGGUAAAGGCUCACCAAGCCAACGAUCUGUAGCUGGUCUGAGAGGACGGCCAGCCACACUGGGACUGAGACACGGCCCAGACUCCUACGGGAGGCAGCAGUGGGGAAUUUUGGACAAUGGGCGAAAGCCUGAUCCAGCAAUGCCGCGUGCAGGAAGAAGGCCUUCGGGUUGUAAACUGCUUUUGUACGGAGCGAAAAGGUCCUUUCUAAUACAGGGGGCUCAUGACGGUACCGUAAGAAUAAGCACCGGCUAACUACGUGCCAGCCGCCGCUGUAA
rnacentral:rRNA from 1 species